rnacentral:rRNA from 1 species
AAGGAAUAUUGGUCAAUGGACGCAAGUCUGAACCAGCCAUGCCGCGUGAAGGAUUAAGGCCCUCUGGGUUGUAAACUUCUUUUAUAGGGGAAGAAACCCAUCUUUUCUAAGGUGGUUGACGGUACCAGAGGAAUAAGCACCGGCUAACUCCGUGCCAGCAGCCGCGGUAAUACGGAGGGUGCGAGCGUUAUCCGGAUUUACUGGGUUUAAAGGGUGCGUAGGUGGGCUUAUAAGUCAGUGGUGAAAUCUCCGAGCUUAACUUGGAAACUGCCGUUGAUACUAUAGGUCUUGAAUUAUCUGGAGGUAAGCGGAAUAUGUCAUGUAGCGGUGAAAUGCUUAGAUAUGACAUAGAACACCAAUUGCGAAGGCAGCUUACUACAUAUAAAUUGACGCUGAGGCACGAAAGCGUGGGGAUCAAACA